rnacentral:lncRNA from 1 species
GAGAUUAAAUGAUAACAAAGAGAAAAACAGUAAUAAUAAAAAAGAUGAAGACAAAAGUAAAUAUUAUAUAGAAAAACAAAAUGAUUUUUUAACAAAACUUGAUGAAGGGAAUAACGAAAAUGAUGAAGUAAAAGAUUACAGUACUGUUAAAAUAAUAAAUAAAAAGCAGAAAGAAAAUCAGGACUUUUUAUUGAAUGAUGAAACAUAUGUAAAUUUUAUAAAUAAGUAUAAUAAUGAAAAGAUAGAAAAAAAUAAAAAAAACAGAUUUAGUAGUAAACAUUUACAACUAGAAGAUAACGAAAAGAGUUUAUGGGAAAUAUUAAAAGAAAAAGAAGAAGAGAUAAAAAAUAAAAAAAAAUUAAAAUUUUAUCAAAGAGAGCUAGAUGAAAAGGGUAAAAGAGAAUAUGAAAAAAUCCAAAAGGAAGAAAAAUAUAUAUUAAACGAUUUAAGUAAAGAAAAGGGUAAACAAAAAAGUAAACAAAAAAUGGAUAGCUACAAUGAUAAAAAUAAAAAGUGGUUUACACAAAAGAAUUCAGACAAACAACAAAUAAAUAAUGAUAAUGAUGAUGAUAUUAAAAAAAGAACUAAAAAACAAAAAGAACAAAAAAAAAACUUAGAACAAGUAUACGAUGAUAUAGAUCUUUUUUUAAACAAUGAAAAAACGUAUAUAAAUGAUAUAAAAUCGUAUGAUGAAAUUUAUGAGCAGUCAUCCGUUAAUUCUAUCAAAAAAGAUGAAACAACAGGAUUAUUGGGGUCAACAGAAAAUGAUGCUACAUCCAUUACUACUAGUAGUAAUACCACUUUUAGUCAUAUUAAAAAAAAAAAUAAAGUGGUUGAUUAUAAUACAAACUUAGACAAAAACGAAUUGAAUAUUAAUAAUUUAAUUCAAGAAGAGUUAAAAAGUAAUUACAUAUAUUACAAUUCAGUGAUAAAAAAACAAGAUGAUGAACAACUACAACCUAAAAACAUGACAACUAGCGAAUUACUAAUUAAUGAUUUAAAUGCUCCAAAUGAUACGAACCAAACGUUGAUGCUAGAUAGUACACUUUUUGAAAAAGAAGAAGAUGAUAUAUCUGCUAAAAAUUAUGUAAAAAAAUUAUUCAAGGAAGGAAAAACUGAGCUUACGAUAGGUCAAAAUAAACAAGACUUAAACAAACAACUGAUAGAGUCAGAAAAAGCAAAUUCACAAUUAGUAAAAAAACAUGAUGAUGAAACAAAUCAAAAAAAACAUUCUUUUUUUGUUUCUCCUCCUAGCUCAAACACAACAUUACAUAAUGCAAAAAAAAAAAAAGAACCAGAUGUAGUACAAGUGAAUGAAGUCGAGAUUAUAGAAAAUUUAAGUGGCGAAAAUUUUAGCAGUAUUGUCGAUGGGAAUAUUGAUAAUAUGAUUAUACAGAAAGACAUAAAAAGAGAAAAGACAUUAUAUGGUGUUAUAACUGUUGUUUAUAAUAAUUUACAGAAUUGUGAUAAUAUAAAUUUAAGUAGUGCAUUAGUAAAGAUAUCAAAACUGAUAGAUUUAUAUCAAAAGGAAAGUAUUGUUAAUAAUUAUAUGUAUUUAAGUAUUAUAAAAAAAGUGGAAACGAAUUUAUGUUCUUUUAGUAUAUCUAAUUUAGUUCAAAUAUUUUAUUCGUUUGUUAAAAUAAACCAUUUACCUUAUUUUUUUAAUGACAUAGUGAAUAAUAUUAAUAAUAAAUUAAAAGAUUGUGAACCAAAACAAAUAUGCAGCAUUUUAUACACAUUAAGUAAUAUUUUAAUAGAAACAAAUGAAAUACGUCAUUUAAAAAUGAAACUAC